AGAAGCUGUGGCCUCACCCUUGAGGCCCGGGCACUUCCCGUCUCCUCCCUUGCUCCCCUUCCUCACCCCAAUCCCUACAGCCUCCCGCGCAGCCUGAGCUCUAGGAUUGUGGGUUUUCCAUCCUCCGAAGACAUCACCUUUGCUCAUCUCCCAGGAGAGUCUCGUCCAAAGGAGGGGGGUGCUUUCUGCUUCAGCAGAUCCCACCCCACCCUGGGAUCCGAGGGAGCAAUGGUGGGGCGAGUGAGGGUCUGCCGUAAAUAUCCCCCGACCACCCUCUGGGAAGGUGCUAGAGGCCACAGGCAAAUUUCAGUCUCCCCAUGGAAUAUCUGCUGUGCUGCUGCUGCUGCUGCUGCUGAACUCUUAGGGUCACCUGGAGCACCUUGGGAGCCAGAGAUGCAGCCAAAGAGUGAACAAUGGUACCAAUCCCAAGACCCAUGUGUUAAGAAGAAACCAGCCAAGACUCAGAUCAGGAUUGGGGAGUCCACCCCUCGUUUCCCUUCAGAGCAUUAUUUCCUUGUUUGCUAAGAGGGGCAGGAACUGGAAAACUCAGGCUAGCCCAUCUGAGAAGACUUUCCUGGAGAUGAGCUGGAGGAGGGAGGAGUAAGGCCUUGGAAGGAAACUCCAGGACAGCACCACCUCCCCUACACUGGGACCUCGUCUCUAACUGGCAGAGUGGUCAAUGAAAAAAAGGGCAUGCCUUGGCACAUCAUGGUCAAACUGCUAAAAGCCAAAGACAAGAGAAAAUCUUUUCUUUUUUUUAAUCCCAUCCUAAAGACUAGACAGAACAAUAUUUUCAAUGUCACUCUUUUCUCAUCAAAACCAAUAUAGACCAGAAGACAGUGGAAUAUCUCUAAAAUGCUGAAGGAAAAAAAAAGUCAACUCAGAAUUGUUUUUCUAGUGAAAGUAUUCUUCCAGAAUGAAGAUGAAAUAAAGCUAUUUUCAGAUAAAAGAAAACAGAGAUUCUUGUCGCCAGCAGACCUCCACUAUGAGAAGCGCUAAAGAAAGUUCUUUAGGACGGGCACGAUAGCUCACGCCUAUAAUCCCAGCAUUUUGGGAGGCCAAGGUGGGAGGAUUGCUUGAGCUCGGAAGAUGGAGGCUGCAGUGAGCCAUGACGGUGCCACUGCACUCCAGCUUGGGUGACAGAGUGAGACGCUGUCUCAAAUUGGAAGAGCAGAGCUGCAGACAGGAAUAAGAAGAACGGUAAAUUUGAAGAUGGGACCGUCUAGUUGCAAGAAAACAAGCUCAGGGCUCCCACUGAUUCUACAUUACGGGCUGUGGGUUCCUUGAGGGAGGAAUUUUGUCCUGCAGGCUGUGGCAGCCCUAGGACUCAGCACAUCUAGGUGUCCACCUGCGUCUGUGGAAGAAGAAGAAGAAGAGGAGGAGGAGGAGGAGGAAGAAGAAAGAUGGUGAGAUAUCCUGCAGGAGACCAGGGCCAGGAGGGUGGAGGCCUCUCAAGAAGAGGGAAGCAUGAGGAAGCUCCAGGGCAGGAUGGUUUACCUGCCUGGACAGCAAGAUGAUGGCUACACUAGCCCCCAUUCUCUGGGCGCCUGGAUUUGCCCACCAGAUCUCCUCACCUCUUGCCCUUCACCUCCUGCUGUACCUACAAGGUCUCCCCGAUUCUCAUCUGCCCAUAAUCAUGGACACAGCCCCAGGAUGUGCAGGGUGAGUCCCCAGGGACCCUGAAAGCAUGGGUACUCUUAUGACUGAGGGCGUUACACCAGGGAGAGGGAGCCGGGGAGACUUCCCAGAGAGCUGGUUGGGGGUUAUGAAAGUGGCCUCACGGCUGAUGCGGUGGCUAACACCUGUAAUCCCAGCACUUUGGGAGGCUGAGGCGGGCAGAUUGCUUGAGGUCAGGAGUUCGAGAUCAGCCUGGCCAACAUGGUGAAACCCAGUCUUUACUAAAAAUACAAAAAAAUUACGUGGGCCUGGUGGCACGUGCCUGUAGUGCCGGCUACUCAGGAGGCUGAGGCACAAGAAUCACUUGAACCUGGGAGGCGGAGGCUGCAGUGAGCCGAGAUUGCACCACUGCACUCCAGCCUGGGCGGCAGAGCAAGAUUCUGUCUC
rnacentral:lncRNA from 10 species